AAACCAGCACCUCAAGUGGUCAGGAUGAUGAUUGGGCCUAAAGCAUCCGUAGCCUGCUCUGUAAGUUUUCGGUUAAAUCUGUACGCUUAACGUACAGGCUGCCGGAAAUACUGCAGAGCUAGGGAGUGGGAGAGGUAGACGGUACUCGGGAGGAAGUGGUAAAAUGCUUUGAUCUCUCGAUGACCACCUGUGGCGAAGGCGGUCUACCAGAACACGUCCGACGGUGAGGGAUGAAAGCUGGGGGAGCAAACCGGAUUAGAUACCCGGGUAGUCC
rnacentral:rRNA from 1 species